rnacentral:rRNA from 1 species
UCCUACGGGAGGCAGCAGUGGGGAAUAUUGCGCAAUGGGCGAAAGCCUGACGCAGCCAUGCCGCGUGUGUGAAGAAGGCUCUAGGGUCGUAAAGCACUUUAAGCGAGGAGGAAAGGAUUAAGGUUAAUACCCUUGAUCUGUGACGUUACUCGCAGAAUAAGCACCGGCUAACUCCGUGCCAGCAGCCGCGGUAAUACGGAGGGUGCAAGCGUUAAUCGGAAUUACUGGGCGUAAAGCGCGCGUAGGCGGUUUUGUAAGCUGGGUGUGAAAGCCCCGGGCUCAACCUGGGAACUGCAUCCAGAACUGCAAGACUAGAGUACGGUAGAGGGUGGUAGAAUUUCUUGUGUAGCGGUGAAAUGCGUAGAUAUAAGAAGGAAUACCAGUGGCGAAGGCGGCCACCUGGACUGAUACUGACGCUGAGGUGCGAAAGCGUGGGGAGCGAACAGGAUUAGAUACCCUGGUAGUCCACGCCGUAAACGAUGUCAACUAGCCGUAGGAAUCCUUGAGGUUUUUGUGGCGCAGCUAACGCAAUAAGUUGACCGCCUGGGGAGUACGGCCGCAAGGUUAAAACUCAAAUGAAUUGACGG